AGAGAGGGACACACGUUGGCACAGAAGAGGGAGAAAAGACAAGAACAGUGUCAUCUUCUCUAUUCCAAACUGUAAGCUGACAUACUGUGGGGGUGAGGCUAUAGAUUAUGGGGUUUUUUCAUGUGGAAAUAAGUGAAACAUGAUAAACUGCUACUUCCAGUGAGUCUCCUCAGUAUAUUGGAGAUGUGCAGUCCAGAUGCCUGGACAAAGACCGCUGCUAUGUCUCUGGAUCUAUGUAAAGGAGUGUGAGCUGGAGGGGCAGCUGUCACCUGCAUGGGUGAAAAAGAAGUGGGAGAACCAAAUACACGGAGUUGAAAGCUCCCCCCACCAGAGUCAGGGGCUGCCACUCCAUCACCCCAUCAGUCAUAAUCUCUUCCCUCUCCCUCCC